rnacentral:rRNA from 1 species
GAAUUCAGACAAACUCCGAAUGCCAAUUAAUUUAACUUGGGAGUCAGAACAUGGGUGAUAAGGUCCGUGUUCGAAAGGGAAACAGCCCAGACCACCAGCUAAGGUCCCAAAAUAUAUGUUAAGUGGAAAAGGAUGUGGCGUUGCCCAGACAACUAGGAUGUUGGCUUAGAAGCAGCCAUCAUUUAAAGAGUGCGUAAUAGCUCACUAGUCGAGUGACACUGCGCCGAAAAUGUACCGGGGCUAAACAUAUUACCGAAGCUGUGGAUUGUCCUUUGGACAAUGGUAGGAGAGCGUUCUAAGGGCGUUGAAGCAUGAUCGUAAGGACAUGUGGAGCGCUUAGAAGUGAGAAUGCCGGUGUGAGUAGCGAAAGACGGGUGAGAAUCCCGUCCACCGAUUGACUAAGGUUUCCAGAGGAAGGCUCGUCCGCUCUGGGUUAGUCGGGUCCUAAGCUGAGGCCGACAGGCGUAGGCGAUGGAUAACAGGUUGAUAUUCCUGUACCACCUAUAAUCGUUUUAAUCGAUGGGGGGACGCAGUAGGAUAGGCGAAGCGUGCGAUUGGAUUGCACGUCUAAGCAGUAAGGCUGAGUAUUAGGCAAAUCCGGUACUCGUUAAGGCUGA